rnacentral:rRNA from 1 species
AACCCAGACCGCCAGCUAAGGUCCCAAAGUCAUGGUUAAGUGGGAAACGAUGUGGGAAGGCCCAGACAGCCAGGAUGUUGGCUUAGAAGCAGCCAUCAUUUAAAGAAAGCGUAAUAGCUCACUGGUCGAGUCGGCCUGCGCGGAAGAUGUAACGGGGCUAAACCAUGCACCGAAGCUGCGGCAGCGAACGUAUCACUUAAAGCGAUUCAGCGGAUGACGAUUGACGGAGCGAAGCGACGUCAAAGCGUAUACAAAGUCGAGUCGGUUUAAGGAUACGUUCGUUGGGUAGGGGAGCGUUCUGUAAGCCUGUGAAGGUGUGUCGUGAGGCAUGCUGGAGGUAUCAGAAGUGCGAAUGCUGACAUAAGUAACGAUAAAGCGGGUGAAAAGCCCGCUCGCCGGAAGACCAAGGGUUCCUGUCCAACGUUAAUCGGGGCAGGGUGAGUCGACCCCUAAGGCGAGGCCGAAAGGCGUAGUCGAUGGGAAACGGGUUAAUAUUCCCGUACUUGGUGUUACUGCGAAGGGGGGACGGAGAAGGCUAUGUUGGCCGGGCGACGGUUGUCCCGGUUUAAGCGUGUAGG